AUUAGAUACCCUGGUAGUCCACGCUGUAAACGAUGAUUACUCGAUGUUGGCGAUAAACUGUCAGCAUCUGAACGAAAGUAUUAAGUAAUCCACCUGGGGAGUACGGUCGCAAGAUUGAAACUCAAAGGAAUUGACGGGGGCCCGCACAAGCGGAGGAGCAUGUGGUUUAAUUCGAUGAUACGCGAGGAGCCUUACCUAGACUUAAAUGUAGAAUGAUCUCCCGGGAAACCGGGCUUCUCUUACGAGCAAUCUACAAGGUGCUGCAUGGUUGUCGUCAGCUCGUGCCGUGAGGUGUCGGGUUAAGUCCCACAACGAGCGCAACCCCUAUCCUUAGUUGCCAUCAGGUAAUGCUGGGGACUCUGAGGAAACUGCCUACGCAAGUAGUGAGGAAGGUGGGGAUGACGUCAAAUCAGCACGGCCCUUACGUCUAGGGCUACACACGUGCUACAAUGGUCAAUACAGAGGGCCGCUACCUGGUGACAGGAUGCUAAUCUCGAAAAUUGAUCUCAGUUCGGAUCGAAGUCUGCAACUCGACUUCGUGAAGUUGGAUUCGCUAGUAAUCGCACAUCAGCCAUGGCGCGGUGAAUACGUUCCCGGGCCUUGUACACACCGCCCGUCAAGCCAUGGAAGUUGGGGGUACCUGAAGUCGAUAACCGUAAGGAGUCGCCUAAGGUAAAACUAAUGACUGGGGCUAAGUCGUAACAAGGUA
rnacentral:rRNA from 1 species